rnacentral:lncRNA from 1 species
AUGUUCAAAUUUGUUUUUCGAAUGUGAGGCUCUACCCAAAUUCUGCAAUAAUGUCCACCCCUGGUUGGUUAUGAUGUAAAUACGUGAUGUGUCUCAAUUAUACAUCUCUUUAUCUUUAUUCAUUAAUUGUUUGCUAUGUCUUGGAAAGUUAUACCUCAAAAGAGAAAAUUAUUUGGUAUGUCUUAGAAAGUGUUAAGUAUUUUAUUACUAAAAUAUGUUCUGUGUUUUACAUGUCUUUAUGUUCUCAUUCGACCAUCUUAUGGUUCACUUAAAAAUCAAACAAAAUCUCUCUUAAGAAAAAGAAUACCUGUUUUAAUGAGAUUCAGUCUUUUCCCCCCUCAAGAUAGAGAUGCUCCACUUUUCAUGUCAAUACUUAUCAUCGCCAGAUUAAAAGAGGUAUUGCUAUCCUUCAAAGCGAGAGACGUAUUUGUUCUUUUUGAACUCUGAAGAAAAUCUUGCUACUCUUUAGGUGACAUGCACCCUAAAGUGUUUUUGCCGUUGCUUUUGCUUUGGUUGAUAGUUUUUGUAGAGCAUGUGCUUUUAGUGAGUUGAUUCUGUUUUUGAGUUGCCAUGGCUCCAAUUCACAAUUUAUCAUGACUCUAAUCGGCAUCUGUAUUUCUGAGAAAGAAUCAGCUGAGGACAAGUGUGACAGUGAUGAUCAAUUUAGCACAUUUCUUAAGGUCUUAGAGUAAAUAUGAUUAUAUUCUCCUUGGAUUGAUACACAAACUGACAAAAUUUUGAGAUGCUAUAUUUGUCAAUAUGCAGGCUGGUUGGUAAAGUUGGUUGUAUACUAACAAGUGUCUUUUACCUGUUCCUGUCGCCUACUUUAUCUUUAACCUUAAGGUGCUUGCAAGUCCAUGUUUUAAUAAAUCGAGAUUGAAGGAGAGAGAUAUGAACCUACUUUUUGCUUAACUUGUCUUCUUAUACGUAGGCAUCCAUUGCAUGAAUGUGGAAUCUAUUCCAAGUAGAGAGAAAAUAUAUAGUUUAACUAUAUGUGGUUUUAGACAGAGUGCGGAGUAUACUGUUAUAUUUUGCUCAUCAUGAUUCAUGUACUGUUGCAUUUUGUUCAUCAUUAUUCAUGUACCUGAAUUUAGCAUGUGUUUUAUGCUUAAAAUAGCGGGCUCAUAAAAUUUGCAGAUACUAAAGGCGGGUUCCUUGAGAAAAUUAUUCUUUAACUGAUGAUCGAGCAACCAAAACUCAAAUAGAAUGCACUGGUGCUGAAGUGGUUUGCUUAAUUAAGAAAGUUGAGAUUACUUUUAUUGUACUUUUAGGAUGAUUUACUGGGAUGAGCACCAGUAGAGUUAAAUGUUUGCUGCCUUUUUUAGUCAAGAUUUGCUCCUUUAUAACAAAAAAAAAAUUCAAAUGUAUUCUUGAGAAGACAAUUGACUUUGCUGAUUUUCUUUUUU